rnacentral:tRNA from 1 species
AAAAAGAUAAGCUAAGUAAGCUCGUGGGCUCAUACCCCAUUUAUGAGGUAUCAAUUCCUCUCUUUUUA